rnacentral:rRNA from 1 species
GUGGGGAAUAUUGGACAAUGGGCGGAAGCCUGAUCCAGCCAUGCCGCGUGUGUGAAGAAGGUCUUCGGAUUGUAAAGCACUUUAAGUUGGGAGGAAGGGCAGUAAGCUAAUACCUUGCUGUUUUGACGUUACCGACAGAAUAAGCACCGGCUAACUUCGUGCCAGCAGCCGCGGUAAUACGAAGGGUGCAAGCGUUAAUCGGAAUUACUGGGCGUAAAGCGCGCGUAGGUGGUUCAGUAAGUUGGAAGUGAAAUCCCCGGGCUCAACCUGGGAACUGCUUUCAAAACUGCUGAGCUAGAGUACGGUAGAGGGUGGUGGAAUUUCCUGUGUAGCGGUGAAAUGCGUAGAUAUAGGAAGGAACACCAGUGGCGAAGGCGACCACCUGGACUGAUACUGACACUGAGGUGCGAAAGCGUGGGGAGCAAACAGGAUUAGAAACCCGGGUAGUCC